AUGAUUUUAGCAUUCAAAAAAUGUAACUUAUAUUGUUUCAUACAUGAGCAUGCACAAAAACCCAUAAUUUUAUCUUUCAUUCAUGAGCAUGCAUAAAAAAAUUUCAAUUCCCAUCAAUUACCAAACUGAAUAUUCAUUGUUAAGAAAUUGACAUGUUUAGAUGACACUGUCAUACAACAUCCAUGAGCAUGCACAAAAUUAAACCUGACAUACUUAACAUUGACAUGUUCAAAUUACACUAACAAGCUUAAACCUAACAUGCUUAACAUUGACACUUCAUUUUCUUAACAUCUUCACUCCUCCUUCUCCUUCAUCAACCUGAUGCGCUCAGAGUGGCGAAUCCCAAUGCGGAUUUACUCCUCUACCACAAUUGGCAUGGUCCUGUCGCCAAGCUGUGGGAUUGCAGGCGCCACCACUAUCGCGAGGCCGUCGUCAGCCACCAUAGCAAGGUCGUCGUCCGCAGCCACCAUAGCAAGGUCGUCGUCCGCCACCACCAUAGCAAGGUCGUCGUCCGGCACCACCAUAGCAAGGUCAUCAUCCGCCACCACCAUAGCAGGGUCAUCGUCAGCCACCAUCAUAGCAUGGUCGUCGUCAGCCAGAAUAGGCUACUCCUCGUCAUCCCCGCUCUGCUCCUUGUCAUCCCCGCUGCUGCUCCCAUUGCCUGUCCAAAUGCAACAAAGUGUGAACAUGGUGUUGUCAUCGUGCAGGUAGAGGAAGCCAAAAGGACAGGAAGAAGAGAGGCAGAGAGCUUACUGGCAUCAUCGUCGUGAUGGUAGUACAUGCGGCACAUGGUGUUGUCGAACAUCUUCACGGUGAACUUGGCGUCGCCGUCGUACCGGAAGACAAGGAAGUACCCGAGCUGUAGCUCAUGGGUGCGGGCGAAAUGCUCGCAGCCGGGCCAUGUGGCCUUCACCAUCGAACACCACCAACACGUCCCACAGCCUGCGAAGCCUGCUGCCGGCCUCCCGCAGCUUCACUUUGUGGGGCUCACGGCCGAUGAGCAUCUUCGCAAACUUGUCAGGCAACCUCUGCAGCGAGGGUCAAGCAGUGGUUAAUCGUGCCAAUUAAGCACUAGACAGCAGAGUGAUGAUAAAGAAAUGAGUGAUGAUAAAUAUACCUGCCUACUGCAAGAUUUCUCAAUUACCAUCUCGAAGAACUCAAAACCUUCCAAGCCAGCUGAGGGAGUCCCGGACUAGGGGGUGUCCGGAUAGCCGAACUAUCAUCUUCGGCCGGACUCCUGGACUAUGAAGAUACAAGAUUGAAGACUUCGUCCCGUGUUCGGAUGGGACUUUCCUUGGUGUGGAAGGCAAGCUUGGCGAUACGGAUAUGUAGAUCUCCUACCAUUGUAACCGACUCUGUGUAACCCUAAUCCUCUUUGGUGCUUAUAUAAACCGGAGGGUUUUAGUACAUAGGACGAACAACAAUCAUACCAUAGGCUAGCUUCUAGGGUUUAGCCUCUCUGAUCUCGUGGUAGAUCUACUCUUGUACUACCCAUAUCAUCAAUCAAUCAAGCAGGAGUAGGGUUUUACCUCCAUCGAGAGGCCCCGAACCUGGG
rnacentral:lncRNA from 1 species